rnacentral:lncRNA from 1 species
GACUGUUUCAAAAAAAAAAAAUUGCAUUGAAAUAUUACUUAUUUUGAUGAUUGAGAUUUUUGGCCUCCCCUUAAGUUUUGCAUGCAAGGUAAGGGCCUCAUGGGCCUGGCUGCAGUCCCAGGCUGAGCUAGGCACUCCACAAUAUUUUGUUUGGGUAAAGUGAUGGGUGGGCUCUAGAGCUCCCUCACAGCUGUAUCCUUACCUCAAAGGGGCAGAUUAACUUAGAUUUACAGAAACGACAGCUGAGGAGGUAAAUCUGAGUCCCUCUGGAGGUGAAGGUGCUUCUGAGCAUGUUGUCCAGCCCCUUCCUUUUUUAGACAGGAGAACUUACUCAGAGAUAAUAAGUAAAUGACAUACAGUUUAUACAACAAAACUUCCUUGGGAAAUGAUGCUUUGCUUUUCCUGGGAGACCAUUUAGUGUUAGGGUCAGGAGGAGCUAUGGGGAGGUGAGGGCAGCCAGAUGCAAGGGGAGUAGAGGUCUGGGCUGUGCCUGAGACUCUCACAGAUCCUUCCCCUUCCUGACUUCCCAGGUCUGGUGUGACCUGCGUCAGGUUUCAGGGAGCUGGGCUGCAGACUGCUGAUGCUCUAGUGCCUAGACCUGCAGCCUUGCUGUCUUCUCCCACCCCAGCUUGAGGACCAAAUACCACUCUCCUCUCUGUUGGAGUGGAUUUUUCUCCUAAAACCAAAGGAGGCACUCUUCUUCCCCAAUCUGAAGUUUUUGUAUUUUGCUAUUACAGACCUGCUCUCUGGUCUCUAAAUCUGGAUUCCCAAUGUACCCUGGGUGCCAUAGAGUUGGCAGUUACUUUCCUGGGGGAAGAGGGUAGGACUUCAAUGUUCUGAAAGUGACAGAUCUCCGAGUUCCAGAUAUGGGUGUUCAGCAAAUUUCUCAGUCUCUUCUAACAGGCCCUGCUUUGCAGGUGACCCGGCGCUUUGGGAUCCCAGGGCUGAAGAAAAUCAUGGACUGGUUUGGCUACUAUGGAGGCCCCUGCCGCGCCCCCUUGCAGGAGCUGAGCCCCGCUGAGGAGGAGGCACUGCGCAUGGAUUUCACCAGCAACGGCUGGCUCUGAGGGCAGGCAGGGUCCAUGGCUGGCCUGAGCCCAUCUCAGCCUCCUGCCUUGCACUUGCAGCCUGAAGCGGAGAGCACAGGGGGAUGAGGGUGGCAGGCAGCGGGGAGCCGAUAGAGGCUCCUUUGCCUGCUGUGGUCCUCCAGGCAGCCUUUCACAGGCACGCCCAUGCAUAUCUCCUAUUCUAACGGCCCCUGACCUCUCCCUUUUGGAUCCUAAACUGUGUCUCUGGUCUGAAGACUGGGAAGGAGCAAUUUCUCAAUUUAUCUUUCUACUGUGGAUGCUUUCCUACGCCCUGAGGCACAUGAAGUCAGAAAGGAAGGGCAGAGGGGCAAGUAGGCACAGUAAGGGAAUUUUCUUUUCUUUUUUUUUUUUUUUGAGACAGAGUUUCACUCUGUCACCCAGGCUGGAGUGCAAUGGCAUGAUCUCGCCUCCUGGGUUCAAGCGAUUCUCCUGCCUCAGCCUCCCGAGUAGCUGGGAUUACAGGCGCCUGCCACCACGCCCAGCUAAUUUUUGUAUUUUUAGCAGAGAUGGGGUUUCACCGUGUUGGCCAGGCUGGUCUUGAACUCCUGACCUCAGGUGAUCCAACUGCCUCGGCCUCCCAAAGUGCUGGGAUUACAGCUGUGAGCCACUGCACCCGGCCGGGAAUUUAUCAAAGGGGGGACUACUUAGAUUUGGGGCUUCAAACCUGAGUCUAGCACAAUGCAGCUGGAGGCCAGGGCUACUCCUACAAACCCAAGUUCUGACUCCUUCCAGGGAAGUAUCAGCUUAAGAAACUUGAUCAGGAAAGUGACACUGGUCUUUCAAAGAGCCCUCUUUACCCUCCCAUCCCUGCCCUCCACACUGCAAGCUGCAUUCCAGCCACAACGCCCUUUUCUAAAUCUAUUUUCAUUCAUCUCCUAUUCUGGUCUGUAGCCUUGAUUCCAACCAUUGAAUGCACGGAGACAGCCCAGUGGCUUGUCAGAUUGGUAAAUAAUGACACCUGGUGGAUAAAUGUUACAUUCUAGAAGACUAUUCUGGUCAGCCUAGGUCUGAAACACUAAGGAGACUUGGCCUGAGAUAGGGCCAUCCACUUGCCUACAGGCACUCUGCU